rnacentral:rRNA from 1 species
GUCAGCGGCGGACGGGUGAGUAACACGUGGGUAACCUGCCUGUAAGACUGGGAUAACUCCGGGAAACCGGGGCUAAUACCGGAUGCUUGAUUGAACCGCAUGGUUCAAUCAUAAAAGGUGGCUUUCAGCUACCACUUACAGAUGGACCCGCGGCGCAUUAGCUAGUUGGUGAGGUAACGGCUCACCAAGGCGACGAUGCGUAGCCGACCUGAGAGGGUGAUCGGCCACACUGGGACUGAGACACGGCCCAGACUCCUACGGGAGGCAGCAGUAGGGAAUCUUCCGCAAUGGACGAAAGUCUGACGGAGCAACGCCGCGUGAGUGAUGAAGGUUUUCGGAUCGUAAAACUCUGUUGUUAGGGAAGAACAAGUACCGUUCGAAUAGGGCGGCACCUUGACGGUACCUAACCAGAAAGCCACGGCUAACUACGUGCCAGCAGCCGCGGUAAUACGUAGGUGGCAAGCGUUGUCCGGAAUUAUUGGGCGUAAAGCGCGCGCAGGCGGUUUCUUAAGUCUGAUGUGAAAGCCCCCGGCUCAACCGGGGAGGGUCAUUGGAAACUGGGGAACUUGAGUGCAGAAGAGGAGAGUGGAAUUCCACGUGUAGCGGUGAAAUGCGUAGAGAUGUGGAGGAACACCAGUGGCGAAGGCGACUCUCUGGUCUGUAACUGACGCUGAGGCGCGAAAGCGUGGGGAGCGAACAGG